rnacentral:rRNA from 1 species
UACAGAGGGUGCGAGCGUUGUCCGGAAUCACUGGGCGUAAAGGGCGCGUAGGUGGUGGCUUAAGCGUGCGGUGAAAGCUCGGAGCUCAACUCCGAGUCGGCCGUGCGAACUGGGCUCACUGGAGCAUAGUAGAGGCAGGUGGAAUUCCGGGUGUAGCGGUGGAAUGCGUAGAGAUCCGGAAGAACACCGGUGGCGAAGGCGGCCUGCUGGGCGUGAUGGCUGACACUGAGGCGCGACAGCGUGGGGAGCAA